UAUUAGGUUAGCCUGGGCAACAUAAGACGACCCUUUCUCACAAAUAAAUGUUUGCCCUUCAGUCGGCAGCAGUGUAUGUAACACAGUUUAAAAACAUUCCAUUACUAUCCAUUAUUAAUUGUGACAUCACCAGUAGUCCCUUUAGGGGACAAUCUCUUGUAUUCAGGAGAACCCUAGAAUCACCUGUGAUGUCACCAGUGUUGUGGUGACACCAGCAGCCUAUGGAGAAUCCCUUUAGAGCCUAUUAUUUUUGCAAGCAGGCAUGUUGUUCAGGCUGCUUAGGCUAUUUUGAAGUGAGAAUGGAAAACAAGGAGAGGCCAUAUCAAGACAGAAGGAGGCUGACCUUCUAUCAUGCUGUAGAACAACAAGAAAGCAAUGGUCCUGGGGAAGGUCCAGUGAGUCCUGGGCAGGGUUUGGGGAGCUUCCUGGAGGAGGAAAGCUUAUGCUGGUCCUUCCAGGAGUAGGACUUAUGAUUUGAACCUCAGUCUUCCUAAAUGGCAGACCCAGACUCAAUAAUUUCUGCAGAUCAAUUUGGCAGAGAGCCGGGAAUUGACAUGUGUCAAUCUGCUUUCCUCAGAGCUCUUUACUUUCAUACUGAGUGGGCCUGGAGGAGUCUCUGUGAGAAUAACAGAGUGUUGCUGUCAGGAUAGUGUUGAAGCACUUCAUCCUAAGCAUAUUCUGUAGGAUACAUGAGUAUGUGAUGCCAAGAGCAAAGAGGAAUACUCUCCUGGUCAUGUCAGACAGACCUCACCACGUUCUCAGACACUUUGGUCUUGAACAAACAUGAUUAGGGCUUGGGUGCUAAUCAGUAUGGAUUCCAAGAAUUCCCUGCAUCACAUCAAACAUGAGCUAACAAUGUCCUUCAAUUCUUCUUGCCUGGGCCAGCUGAUACAUUUCAGAGCCAGGGAGAUGGCAGUAGGGUGUGAGGCAUAUGUCUACCUAUGGUGCUUGGGAACAGGGACAUAGCUGAGGAGCCCAGCUUGAAGAUAACUUUCCUGCUCUUUCAGGGAUUCAUUAGUGUCUCUAGCAACACUUCUUCCUCAGAUUUCUAUUUGGGACUAAGCAUGGUUUCUCCUGGCCCUGUGCCAUCAUCUAUGCAAGUUUACUAGUGUUUAUCUAAAUACAGGAUCUACUGGAAGGCAUAAUCCCAACCCUCCACCAUCUCUAAGGAGGAGGAGAGGUUGAAGAGGUUGGAGAAUCUGACAAUCUCCAGAAGAUGACAAAUGGGAGGGAUGAACUCUGGGGAAUCCUGGCCCAUUACACUAACAAGGAUUUGAACAACAACAGAUCUCAACUUCUCCCCUAAGAAGCAGUAUGUAAGCUAAGUGCCACCAUGAUGGGCACCACAGCACGAGGUAGAGCCUGGACUGCCACCGUGAGAGAUGGGCACCACCGCACAAGUUACAGCCUGGACUUCAGGAGAGAACCCCGCAGGACUCAUAUGGUUGGUCGAAUCACUAAUGUAUUUGCACCAGCCGACCUGGGAUGACUGCCAACAGCUUCUGUAGACCUUAUUCACCACAGAGGAGAGAGAAAGGAUUUUCCUCGAGGCUCAGAAAAACAUCCGAGAUGAGGUUGGGCAGCCUGUCCAACCUCCAGCCAAGAUAGUUGAAGGAUUCCCGCUAACCCAGCCCCGAUGGGAUUACAAUACAGCACAAGGUUACAUCCCAACAGCCAGCCUUUGUUCGCUUUUGAAUGGCGAGAUUCUGAGAGUGGACAAGCUGGACAGCUCACAUGGACGAGGUUGCCUCAGGGAUUCAAGAACUCGCCCACCUUGUUGGAUGAAGCACUACACCGAGACCUUGCCCCCUUCCGAGCCAGUAACCCACAGGUGACUCUUCUGCAGUAUGUAGAUGACCUCCUACUAGCUGCAGAAACAUGUGAGGACUGUGAAACUGGGACUCAAAACCUCCUGGUCGAGCUAGGUUAGCUGGGGUAUCGGGUCUCUGCUAAAAAGGCUCAGUUAUGCCGGACAGAAGUGACCUACUUAGGAUAUGUUCUGAGAGAUGGACAACAGUGGCUCACAGAAGCCAGAAAACAAGCCGUUAUGCAGAUCCUGGCCCCAACCACUGCUAGCCAGGUAAGAGAGUUCCUGGGGACUGCUAGGUUUUAUAGACUCUGGAUUCCCAAAUUUGCCACUCUGGCAGCCCCAUUGUACCCAUUAACCAAAGAAAAAGGAGAGUUCAUCUGGACCAGAGAACAUCAGCUAGUCUUUCAAACUCUCAAAAAGGCGCUACUGCAGGCUCCAGCAUUGGCCCUGCCAGAUGUGAGCAAGCCUUUUACCUUAUACAUUGAUGAAAGAAAUGGGGUGGCAAGGGGAGUCCUUACCCAGCUUUUGGGGCCAUGGAAGCACCCAGUAGCCUACUUAUCAAAGAAGCUGGACCCUGUGGCCAGCGGAUGGCCCUCCUGCCUGCAAGUGAUAGCAGCCACGGCUGUGCUAGUAAGAGAUGCUUACAAACUGACUAUGGGCCAGAAUGUUACCAUAGUGGCCCCGCACUCUCUUGAGAGCAUUGUCAGGUAACCACUGGACCGCUGGAUGACUAACGCCAGAAUGACGCACUACCAGAGCCUAUUGCUGACAGAGCAAGUAAGUUUUGCACCCCCAGCCAAUCUCAACCCUGCUACUUUACUACCUGAGGUUGACGAGGCCCCUGCACAUAAGUGUGAGGAAAUACUGGCAGAAGAGACUGGAAUCUGGCCAGACUUCACAGACCAACAUUGGCCAGGGGAGAUGACCUGGUUCACUGAUGGAAGCAGCUUCGUGGUAGAAGGUAAGCGGAGGGCUGGGGCAGCAUUAGUGGAUUAGUGGAAAGUCUGUCAUAUGGGCCAGCAGCCUGCCGGAGGGUACAUCAGCUCAAAAAGUGGAACUUAUCUCACUAAUUCAAGCCUUAAGGCUGGCAUAAGGAAGGACUCUUAAUGUCUAUACCGUCAGCCGGUAUGCUUUUGCCACGGCCCAUGUUCACAAAGCAAUAUACCAACAUCAUGGACUGCUAACGUCUGCCAGCAAGGAUAUCAAAAAUAAAGAAGAAAUUCUCAGCUUAUUAGAAGCUGUCCAUCUGUUCCAUAGAGUGGCAAUUAUCCAUUGCCCAGGACACCAGAAGGGAACGGGGCCCGCUGAAAAGGGAAACCAAAUGGCAGACCAAGAAGCCAAAAAAGCAGCCCAAGGGCAAAUGACUCUGGUGGCAAGAACCCAACAGCCCGCCAACAAGGAAAUAACUAAAAGAGCCCUCAGAGAUGAAGAGGGGCGAGAUUACUUAGAUAACAUACACCAUCUGACUCAUUUAGGAACUAAAAAAUUAAUAAAAUUGGAUAGUGAGUCCCCCUAUUACAUUCCUGGAUUAAAAAGAAUUGUAGAAGAGAUAGUAAAAAACUGCCAUGCUUGUGCACUUACCAACGCUGGGUCUAGCAGGCUCCAGGAAGGAAAACGACUGUGACGAGACAGGCCUAGAGCCUACUGGGAAACCCGACUUCACUGAGGUGAAACCGGCUAAGUAUGGAAAUAAAUAUCUCUUAGUUUUCAUAGACACCUUCUCAGGAUGGGUCAAGGGGUUCCCCACCAAAAAGGAAACAGCUAUUGUAGUGGUCAAGAAGAUACUUGAAGAAAUCCUUCUCCGCUUUGGGAUACCUAAGGUCAUGGGGUCAGACAACGGACCUGCCU